AAGGAAUUGCGCUUACUGCUAAUGCUGCACACAUUAUUAUCCCAUAUUCAGUGGGAAGAAAACAAACUGAACCUGUGCUCAAAAAGUACAUUUUUCAAAGUGUAUCAGAGCCCUACAAAGGACUAUUGUCUUCAAUCAAGUGAUACCAGACCCUCUUGAAAAGAGGACAAUCCCUGAAAAGGCUCUGAAUUUUCCUGAAGCUUUGGAAGGGGAAAGUAUUAUGUAUUUUCAUAGUAGAUGAAGCAAAACUGGAAAAAAAUACAUUUCAU
rnacentral:lncRNA from 1 species